rnacentral:lncRNA from 1 species
AAACGAAAGCUGUACUGCAUUUUGAUGAAAGGGCACGACAAGAUUAGAGAAAGAAAGAGGCACACCACCAUCCACGCUACUCAUCACCAACCCCUCAAAACCCUUACUUAAUUAACAGACGGACGUGCGCCGCGAACGGAUUAGUUGGAGCGCAUCUUCUCGAGCUGGUUGAGGGCCGGCUGGAGGAUGUUGAAGAGCACCCACCCGAGGGCGGGGGCCACCACGAAGAGCAGCAGCAGGCCCCGGUUGUCGUCCGCCGGCGCCGCCGCGGCCGCCAUGGCCGCGAUCUCCCCCGCGGCGGCCGAGGCCCGCUCCGGCGCGGCAGCGGCCAUGGCGGCCCCGAGCCCGAGCCCGGCCACGAGCGCCUUCUCCGACCGCAUCUUGUUGAGCUGGUUCAGCGCCGGCUGCAGGAUGUUGUAGAGCACCCAGGCGAGCGCCGGGGAGACGACGAUCAGGAGGAGCAGGCCCCGGUUGUCGUCCGCCGGCGCAGCCGCCGCCAUGUCCGCCACCCGCUGCGCCGCCAUCGCCGCGUCGGAGGUCGCCAGCGAGCUGAAGAAGGCGCCCGCCAUGGCCGCGGAAGCCGCCGGCGACACGGCCAGAGCGGCGCCCUGUUUCUUGGCUGCUACUUUCCGCAGCGAGAUGCUCGGGGAUGAUGACGGCGGCGAUGGAG